rnacentral:tRNA from 1 species
GGUGUGGCUCAGCUUGGCUAGAGCGAUUGAUUUGGGAUCAAUAGGCCGCAGGUUCGAAUCCUGUCACC